GCGACCCCAAGUCAGGCGGGACUACCCGCUGAGUU
rnacentral:rRNA from 2 species